ACUGAAUCCAUAGGUUAAUGAGGCGAACCGGGGGAACUGAAACAUCUAAGUACCCCGAGGAAAAGAAAUCAACCGAGAUUCCCCCAGUAGCGGCGAGCGAACGGGGAGGAGCCCAGAGCCUGAAUCAGUGUGUGUGUUAGUGGAAGCGUCUGGAAAGGCGCGCGAUACAGGGUGACAGCCCCGUACACAAAAAUACACAUAUUGUGAGCUCGACGAGUAGGGCGGGACACGUGGUAUCCUGUCUGAAUAUGGGGGGACCAUCCUCCAAGGCUAAAUACUCCUGACUGACCGAUAGUGAACCAGUACCGUGAGGGAAAGGCGAAAAGAACCCCGGCGAGGGGAGUGAAAAAGAACCUGAAACCGUGUACGUACAAGCAGUGGGAGCACGCUUAGGCGUGUGACUGCGUACCUUUUGUAUAAUGGGUCAGCGACUUAUAUUCUGUAGCAAGGUUAACCGAAUAGGGGAGCCGAAGGGAAACCGAGUCUUAACUGGGCGUUAAGUUGCAGGGUAUAGACCCGAAACCCGGUGAUCUAGCCAUGGGCAGGUUGAAGGUUGGGUAACACUAACUGGAGGACCGAACCGACUAAUGUUGAAAAAUUAGCGGAUGACUUGUGGCUGGGGGUGAAAGGCCAAUCAAACCGGGAGAUAGCUGGUUCUCCCCGAAAGCUAUUUAGGUAGCGCCUCGUGAAUUCAUCUCCGGGGGUAGAGCACUGUUUCGGCAAGGGGGUCAUCCCGACUUACCAACCCGAUGCAAACUGCG
rnacentral:rRNA from 1 species